rnacentral:rRNA from 1 species
GACGAACGCUGGCGGCAUGCUUAACACAUGCAAGUCGAACGGAAAGGCACUGCUUUUGUGGGGUGCUCGAGUGGCGAACGGGUGAGUAACACGUGAGUAACCUGCCCUUGACUUUGGGGUAACUUCAGGAAACUGGGGCUAAUACCGGAUAGGAGCUCCUGCUGCAUGGAGAGGGUUGGAAAGUUUCGGCGGUUGGGGAUGGACUCGCGGCUUAUCAGCUUGUUGGUUGGGGAGUGGCUUACCAAGGCUUUGACGGGUAGCCGGCCUGAGAGGGUGACCGGGCACAUUGCGACUGAGAUACGGCCCAGACGCCUACGGGAGACAGCAGUGGGGAAUAUUGCACAAUGGGCGGAAGCCGGAUGCAGCAACGCCGCGUGCGGGAUGACGGCCUUCGGGUUGAAAACCGCUUUCGCCUGUGACGAAGCGUGAGUGACGGUAAUGGGUGAAGAAGCACCGGCUAACUACGUG